rnacentral:rRNA from 1 species
AUUGAACGCUGGCGGCAUGCUUUACACAUGCAAGUCGAACGGUAACAGGUUAAGCUGACGAGUGGCGAACGGGUGAGUAAUGCAUCGGAACGUGCCCGAUCGUGGGGGAUAACGCAGCGAAAGCUGCGCUAAUACCGCAUACGAUCUGAGGAUGAAAGCGGGGGACCGUAAGGCCUCGCGCGAUCGGAGCGGCCGAUGACAGAUUAGGUAGGUGGUGGGGUAAAGGCGCACCAAGCCGACGAUCUGUAGCUGGUCUGAGAGGACGACCAGCCACACUGGGACUGAGACACGGCCCAGACUCCUACGGGAGGCAGCAGUGGGGAAUAUUGGACAAUGGGCGAAAGCCUGAUCCAGCAAUGCCGCGUGCAGGAAGAAGGCCUUCGGGUUGUAAACUGCUUUUGUACGGAGCGAAAAGGCUCUCUCUAAUACAGGGGGCUCAUGACGGUACCGUAAGAAUAAGCACCGGCUAACUACGUGCCAGCCGCCGCAGUAA